rnacentral:rRNA from 1 species
GACGAACGCUGGCGGCGUGCUUAACACAUGCAAGUCGAACGGAAAGGCCCUGCUCUUGUGGUGCGCUCGAGUGGCGAACGGGUGAGUAACACGUGAGUAUCCUGCCCUUGACUUGGGGCUAACUUCAGGAAACUGGGGCUAUUACCGGUUAGGAGCUCCUGCUGCAUGGUGGGGGCUGGAAAGUUUCGGCGGUAUGGGAUGGACUGGCGGCUUAUCGGCUUGUUGGGGGGGUAGUGGCUGACCAAGGCCUUGACGGGUAGCCGGCCUGAGAGGGUGACCGGGGACAUGAGGACUGAGAGACGGCCCAGACGGCUACGGGAGACAGCGGUGGGGAAUAUGACACAGUGGGCGGGAGCCUGAGACAGCAGCGCCGCGGGCGGGAUGACGGCCUGGGAGGGGUAAACCGCUUUGGCCUGAGACGAAGCGUGGGUGACGGUAAUGGGUAAAGAAGCACCGGCUAACUACGUG